AUACGUAGGUGGCAAGCGUUGUCCGGAUUUAUUGGGCGUAAAGCGAGCGCAGGCGGUCUCUUAAGUCUGAUGUGAAAGCCCCCGGCUCAACCAGGGAGGGUCAUUGGAAACUGGGAGACUUGAGUGCAGAAGAGGAGAGUGGAAUUCCAUGUGUAGCGGUGAAAUGCGUAGAUAUAUGGAGGAACACCAGUGGCGAAGGCGGCUCUCUGGUCUGUAACUGACGCUGAGGCUCGAAAGCGGGGGGAGCAAACAGGAUUAGAUACCCUGGUAGUCCACGCUGUAAACGAUGAGUGCUAAGUGUUGGAGGGUUUCCGCCCUUCAGUGCUGCAGCUAACGCAUUAAGCACUCCGCCUGGGGAGUACGGCCGCAAGGCUGAAACUCAAAUGAAUUGACGGGG
rnacentral:rRNA from 1 species